CCUACGGGUGGCUGCAGUAAGGAAUAUUGGUCAAUGGAGGAAACUCUGAACCAGCCAUCCCGCGUGAAGGAUGAAGGGGCUCUGCCUUGUAAACUUCUUUUGUCUGGGGCGAAAAAGCUCGAUUUAUCGAGAACUGACGGUACCAGAAGAAUAAGCACCGGCUAACUCCGUGCCAGCAGCCGCGGUAAUACGGAGGGUGCAGGAGUUAUCCGGUAUCACGGGGUUUAAGGGGUCUUAGGGCGGCUUUGGAGAAAGGCUGUGGCUUAACCAUGGAAUUGCCAGUGAGACUGCAGAGCUUGAAUGAGGUUGAGGUUGGCGGAAUGUGACAUGUAGCGGUGAAAUGCUUAGAUAUGUCAUGGAACACCGAUUGCGAAGGCAGCUGACUGGACCUAUAUUGACGCUGAGGCACGAAAGCGUGGGGAGCGAACAGGAUUAGAUACCCUGGUAGUC
rnacentral:rRNA from 1 species